AACCACAAAUUAAAUAUCUUUUUUUUUUUUCCUUUUAUUUAUUUAUUCAAUUUAUUUUAUUAAAAUUUAAAUUUAAAAAAAAAAAAGAAAAACCUCUCAAAAACCUCAAAAAUCUUCUUUUCUUCUUCUUCAUCAUCUUCUCUCUCAUGUUCUUCAAUGGCUUCUCUACUGUCAACACCAGCUGACAUUUCCAGUCUCACUCCCUGGAGAUGGAGAAGGCUUUUCUUCCCUUCUCAAACCCUAAGCCAAGCACAAUUCCAUUGUUAUCGUUUCUCGCAACCCAAAGCCAUAUCCACCACCCAUUCCCAACAAGGCCAAUCCCAAUCCCAAACUCCAUUCCAAACCCUAAACCACGACCCAGACGCCAUUACACUCCUCAACCACCGAAUUCGCCGUGACCAAGGCAACCGAGAUGGUUCUAGAACCCUUGUGGACGCGGCGGAGGCCGAUAAGUACAUUCAAUUGGUGAAGGAGCAGCAACAGAGGGGUCUUCAGAAGCUCAAGCAACGUGGAGGCUCCACCAGUCAACGGAACAAGGACGAGGAUGGCCUUGUUGAGUCCUCCUUUAACUAUAAGGUCGAUCCUUACUCACUUCGUUCUGGGGAUUACGUUGUGCAUAAGAAAGUUGGUGUUGGUCGAUUUGUGGGUAUAAAAUUUGACGUUCCUAAAGGAUCUAAUGAGCCAAUUGAGUAUGUUUUCAUUGAAUACGCCGAUGGAAUGGCUAAAUUACCUCUCAAACAGGCCUCUCGUCUUCUUUAUCGUUACAAUCUUCCUAAUGAAACGAAAAAGCCUCGCACUUUGAGCAAAUUGAAUGAUACGACUGUUUGGGAGAAAAGAAAAACAAAGGGAAAGCUUGCAGUUCAGAAAAUGGUUGUUGAUUUGAUGGAGUUGUAUCUACAUAGGCUCAAGCAAAGACGCCCUCCCUACCCUAAGACCUCUGCCAUGGCUCAAUUCACAGCUCAGUUUCCUUAUCAACCUACACCAGAUCAAAAGCAGGCUUUCAUAGAUGUUGACAAGGAUUUGACUGAGAGAGAAACCCCAAUGGACCGUUUAAUUUGUGGGGAUGUCGGGUUUGGUAAGACUGAAGUUGCUUUACGUGCCAUCUUCUGUGUAGUAUCAGCAGGGAAGCAAACUAUGGUUUUAGCUCCAACAAUUGUCUUAGCCAAACAACACUACCAUGUCAUUUCAGAAAGGUUUUCUAUGUACUCAAAUGUCCGGGUUGGACUUCUUAGCAGAUUUCAGACAAAAUCAGAGAAAGAUGAACAUCUUGAAAUGAUUAAAAAUGGGCACCUUGACAUUAUUGUUGGGACUCACUCACUUCUUGGAAGCCGAGUUGUGUAUAGCAAUCUAGGCCUUCUUGUAGUUGAUGAAGAACAGAGGUUUGGCGUAAAACAGAAGGAGAAAAUUGCUUCGUUCAAAACUUCAAUUGAUGUUCUUACUUUGUCUGCAACACCUAUACCGCGAACGCUUUACUUAGCCUUGACUGGGUUUCGUGAUGCUAGUUUGAUCUCAACUCCGCCCCCUGAAAGAGUUCCUAUAAAAACCCAUCUUUCAGCACACAGUAAAGAGAAAGUAAUCUCAGCAAUUAAGUAUGAACUGGAUCGAGGUGGGCAAGUGUUUUACGUUUUGCCCCGUAUUAAAGGGCUUGAGGAAGUGAUGGAGUUUCUCGAACAGUCAUUUCCCGAUGUUGAAAUAGCUAUUGCACAUGGAAAGCAAUACUCAAAGCAGCUGGAGGAAACUAUGGAGAAAUUUGCACAAGGGGAUAUCAAAAUUCUCAUUUGCACCAAUAUAGUAGAAAGCGGUCUCGAUAUCCAAAAUGCCAACACCAUCAUAGUUCAGGAUGUUCAACAAUUUGGUCUAGCACAGUUGUACCAGUUGCGUGGAAGAGUGGGACGAGCAGAUAAGGAAGCUCAUGCACACUUAUUUUAUCCAGACAAAUCACUCUUAACUGAUCAAGCUCUGGAGAGACUCGAAGCCCUUGAGGAAUGCCGUGAACUUGGGCAAGGCUUUCAACUUGCGGAGAGAGAUAUGGGUAUAAGAGGUUUUGGUAACAUUUUCGGUGAGCAGCAGACUGGAGAUGUUGGAAAUGUUGGAAUUGAUCUCUUCUUUGAAAUGCUCUUUGAGAGCUUGUCGAAGGUUGAUGAACACCGUGUAGUUUCUGUUCCAUACUGGUCAGUGAAGGUUGAUUUAAACAUAAAUCCUCAUCUUCCUUCUGAUUACAUAAAUUAUCUGGAGAAACCCUUGGAAAUUAUAAAGGAAGCCGAAAACGCAGCUGGGAAAGACAUGUGGACUUUGAUGCAAUUUACUGAGAAUUUGCGACGCCAAUACGGAAAAGAGCCUCAUUCCAUGGAGAUCUUACUAAAGAAGCUCUAUGUAAGGAGAAUGGCAGCAGACCUUGGAAUAAGCAAAAUAUAUGCUUCAGGAAAAAUGGUUGUUAUGGAAACAAACAUGAGCAAGAAGGUUUUCAAGCUGAUUACAGAUUCAAUGGUUUCUGAGGCUCACCGAAAUUCUUUGAUUUUUGAGGCCAAUGAAAUCAAGGCUGAACUUCUUUUAGAGCUUCCUAAAGAACAACUCUUGAAUUGGAUCUUUCAAUGCUUGGCAGAACUUCAUGCUUCAUUACCAGCUCUUAUAAAAUACUAGAUUUUAUAUUUAUUUUUAUUUUCUGGUAAAAUAGAAGGGAGCCAAGAAUAUGUUCUUGUGUUGGACUCAUUCCCAGACUUGUAUAUUCGUACCGAGCAAUGAUCUUUACAAAAUAUGAAUCACACGAAGCAGUUUCGAAUCCAGGCAUUUGUUACAGGUUUCAAAUGUGGGAAUUGACCAAAGUUGAAAGUACUAGAUGCAAAGGGGAUGUUUUUGGUGGAGUAAAGACAUGGAAAAUUUGAAGGUGUAAAGUUGGCUUGGAAACAUAAUGGAAUAAAGAUUAUAUCAAACACAACAGAACAGAACAGGAAUAGUGCUUUUGAUAUUUGUUGCUUGAUACACAAUUCAAACAAAAAGAUUUAUAAAUUAUUACAACAGCAACUGCCCAGAUAUUCUCAACUGUACAAUUGACUUUGACCAGUAGAUCUUAAUGAAAAAGGUUUUUUUUUUUAAAAAAAUAUUAUCUUUCUUUAUUUGUAACUUUUUUAUGCGUUAUGAUUGGAAGAGAAAGAUGCUUUAGUAGUCCAGCUGCCAUAAUAAUAAAAUGGCCCACAUUUCGUUGUCUUCUUUACUCUUUCUAGAAACUAUAUAAAUAAUUGAUCUUUAUUUGGGUCCA